UAAUGGUUUCCAUGUUU
rnacentral:miRNA from 1 species